AUUGAACGCUGGCGGCAGGCUUAACACAUGCAAGUCGAGCGAGCGGCGGACGGGUGAGUAAUGUCUGGGACACUGCCUGAUGGAGGGGGAUAACUACUGGAAACGGUAGCUAAUACCGCAUACCAUCGGAUGUGCCCAGAUGGGAUUAGCUAGUAGGUGGGGUAAAGGCUGACCUAGGCGACGAUCCCUAGCUGGCCUGAGAGGAUGACCAGCCACCCUGGAACUGAGACACGUUCCAGACUCCGACGGGAGGCAGCAGGGGGGAAUAUUGCACAAUGGGCGCAAGCCUGAUGCAGCCAUGCCGCGUGGAUGAAGAAGGCCUUAGGGUUGUAAAGUACUUUCAGCGGGGAGGCGUUACCCGCAGAAGAAGCACCGGCUAACUCCGUGCCAGCAGCCGCGUAAUUC
rnacentral:rRNA from 1 species